GGCGGGAUAGCUCAGUUGGCAGAGCAAGCGGCUCAUAUCCGCUGGGUCGUGGGUUCAAUCCCCUCUCCCGCUACGA
rnacentral:tRNA from 1 species